rnacentral:other from 1 species
CGUCCCCUGCGUUGUGCGCCAGGACCCGUAGUUUCUUGAACCAAUAGUUGGAAUCGAGUUGCGAAACUAGCGUCGCUGUUGUGCGCGUCCCUUGUCGGAUGUGCCUGAUGCGACCGGAACGCGACCACCUUGAACCGGAUGGUUCAGGAUAAGGGUUCGACGGCAAUGGCGGGGGGCAC